GAUGAACGCUGGCGGUAUGCUUAACACAUGCAAGUCGAACGGACUCUUCGGAGUUAGUGGCGGACGGGUGAGUAACGCGUGAGAAUCUGGCUUUGGGUUCGGGACAACCACUGGAAACGGUGGCUAAUACCGGAUGUGCCGAGAGGUAAAAGAGAAAUUGCCUGAAGAUGAGCGCGCGUCUGAUUAGCUAGUUGGAGAGGUAAAGGCCCACCAAGGCAGCGAUCAGUAGCUGGUCUGAGAGGAUGACCAGCCACACUGGGACUGAGACACGGCCCAGACUCCUACGGGAGGCGGCAGUGGGGUAUUGUCCGCAAUGGGCGAAAGCCUGACGGAGCAAUACCGCGUGAGGGAAGAAGGCUCUUGGGUUGUAAACCUCUUUUCUUAGGGAAGAACAAAAUGACGGUACCUAAGGAAUCAGCAUCGGCUAACUCCGUG
rnacentral:rRNA from 1 species